rnacentral:lncRNA from 1 species
UGGCCUUUGGCAAUUCAGUAAACAUUUUAGCAAUUUCUUCUUUCCUGCCUGCUGAAGACUGACUUCCUCCUGCUGCCAAAGGUUUGCAGUGCUUAUUUAAGUUCUAGAGUCUGGACGUCUGAGAUCAGGGUGCCAGCACUGUCGAGGUCACAGACUGCAGACCUCCUUGUAUCUUCAAAUGGAGGAAAGAGGACAAGAGAGCUCCUGUGGUCCCUUUUAUCAAGAUGAAUGCACAAGGAAAAUGUUGUACAUUUGCACAUUGGAGUACACUUCAGCCAUAAAAAGAAUGAGAUGCUGUCAUUUGCAACAACAGUUGAAGCCUAGUCAAGAAGAGGGCUCAGAGAAGCUUGACUAAAGUUUCAUGAAGAGAGUCUCUGUCAGUGGUGGGUCUUUGAUUCUCAAGGAAGCUGUCAGAAGCUUCAUCUAACUUCUCUUCCACUCUACUUUCUUCUGGGGAAGAAGUGACCCAACAAUUUGAUCUAAUAUUUGCCUGAUAAUAUUGAACAUCCUUGCAUCCAUUAAAGUUUACUGUUCUAAGACUUACUUUAACCAAGGUCAACAGCAAUCUGAGACACACUCUUCUCAUGGCAGAUUAUGGGACCAUAAAGCAGGAGAAGAGAAAGGAAGCUGCAGUCCCUGUAUAACUCCUAAAUUUUUAAUUUGGAGUUCCUCUUCUUCGGUGCAACAAUCUUUCUGCAUGCACAGAUCCAUGUGGCACUCAUCUCAUCAUUCUGAGGGAAGAAAGAUGCAUAGGGAAUGUUGCAUGUGGUUAUUUCUGUAAGUAUAGUAAUCAUAGUGUGCCUUUAAUUCUGAAAUCUUAUGUUUGCUUUCAGGAUAAAAUAAAUAAGUAAAAAUAUCAGAAACUUGUCAAUCUUAAGACAUCGGCUGGCCCCUCACUACACUUCAUUGUCCUGAGAUGGCAGAGGAGACAGAACACCAAACCUAGCUCUAGCUUUUGAGACUUUAUUUUCAGCAGUUUACAUUGAUUGGUAACUGGUGUUUUGCCAG